CACCCUCCUAACCUUUGGUUUUCUGUGGACAGAAUUGUAGAACCAGACAUCGGUGAUUCUAUUAGUCUCCCACAAUGCAUGUAUUUUGAAAUUGCCAAUGCCAUCAUUAUUGCUGCCUAGUUGGGCGAUGAUCCCAGAUUUCUUAGCUAUUACAACGCUAUACCAAUUGUAGAGAGGUUGCCAUUCAAAAUACAAAGUCACGACCAAGUUAAAGGCUACCAAACAUUGGAAAGUCAAUGCAAGACCAUGUAUUAUAUCAAGUUUCAAGAUUCAUGCUUCCAUCGUCAAAGGAUAAUCAAAGUGGGAAACUUCCUUAGUUACUUUAAGAUGUAAUCAGAAGUCAGUCUACUGUAGAGAUUAUAUCUUCAUAUUAGGCUUUCUGUUCUGAGAAAUGCAUGGUUCUCUUUGUUAAUGGAAACUCCUUAGCGGUCCAACUUGGUUUGGCUGCAACUUCA